rnacentral:rRNA from 1 species
UCGAGAAUCUUCCACAAUGGACGCAAGUCUGAUGGAGCGACGCCGCGUGACUGAAGAAGCAUUUCGGUGUGUAAAGGUCUUUUAUGAGGGAUGACAUAGCGACAGUACCUCAUGAAUAAGGGGCUGCAAAUCACGUGCCAGCAGCAGCGGUAAUACGUGAGCCCCAAGCGUUAUCCGGAAUUACUGGGUGUAAAGUGUGCGUAGGCGGUUUUGUUAGUCUCCUGCUAAAUCCAUCGGCUCAACCGGUGAA